GGUCCGGUUAGCUCACUCAGUUAGAGUGUGGUGCUGAUAACACCAAGGUCAUGGGUUCGAUCCCCGUUCAAUCCC
rfam:Apaloderma vittatum contig77535, whole genome shotgun sequence.